UACAGAGGUCUCAAGCGUUGUUCGGAUUCAUUUGGGCGUAAAGGGCUCGUAGGCGGCCAACUAAGUCAGACGUGAAAUCCCCUCGGCUUAACCGGGGGAACUGCGUCUGAUACUGGAUGGCUUGAAUCCGGGAGAGGGAUGCGGAAUUCCAGGUGUAGCGGUAGAAAUGCGUAGAUAUCUGGAGGAACACCGGUGGCGAAGGCGGCAUCCUGGACCGGCAUUGACGCUGAGGAGCGAAAGCCAGGGGAGCAAACGGG
rnacentral:rRNA from 1 species